GACGAACGCUGGCGGCGUGCUUAACACAUGCAAGUCGAGCGGAGCGGCGAACGGGUGAGUAACGCGUGAGUAACUGCCCACCUCUCUGGGAUAACAGUUGGAAACGGCUGCUAAUACCGGAUAGUGGGGGAUGGAUCGAGUCCAAUGAGAUUGUUGGUGGGGUAGUGGCCUACAAAGGCGACGCCGGGUAGCCGGCCUGAGAGGGCGACCGGCCACAUUGGGCUGGGAUACGGCCCAAACUCCUACGGGCGGCAGCAUUGGGGAAUAUUGCACAAUGGGGGAAACCCUGAUGCAGCAACGCGCGUGCUGGAUGACGGCCUUCGGGUUGUAAACCGCUUUCAGCCAUGACGCGGUAGUGGCAGAAGAAGCACCGGCUAACUCCGUGCCAGCAGCCGCGGUAAUAC
rnacentral:rRNA from 1 species